rnacentral:rRNA from 1 species
AGAGUUUGAUUAUGGCUCAGGAUGAACGCUAGCUACAGGCUUAACACAUGCAAGUCGAGGGGAAACGACAGAGAGUGCUUGCACACUCUGGGCGUCGACCGGCGCACGGGUGAGUAACGCGUAUCCAACCUGCCCACCACUUGGGAAUAACCUUGCGAAAGUAAGACUAAUGCCCAAUGACGUUGAAAGAAGACAUCUGAUUUCAACUAAAGAUUCAUCGGUGAUGGAUGGGGAUGCGUCCGAUUAGCUUGUUGGCGGGGUAACGGCCCACCAAGGCGACGAUCGGUAGGGGUUCUGAGAGGAAGGUCCCCCACAUUGGAACUGAGACACGGUCCAA